AGGAAGAUGAGCUACAAGCAUCCUGAACUACCUGCUCACCAUGCAUGAGGAUGAUAAUAUCCAUGAUGUUCUUCAGUUGUUGGUGGCUCUGAUGUCAGAACACCCAGCCUCCAUGAUCCCAGCCUUCGACCAGAGAAACGGCAUACGGGUGAUCUGUAAACUCCUAGCCUCUAACAGUGAGAACAUCAGAGUCCAGGCUCUCAAAGUCCUGGGAUACUUCCUCAAACACCUCGGA